rnacentral:rRNA from 1 species
UACGGAGGAUGCAAGCGUUAUCCGGAUUUAUUGGGUUUAAAGGGUGCGCAGGUUGUUUGACAAGUCAGUGGUGAAAGUCUGCCGCUUAACGGAAGGAUUGCCAUUGAUACUGUUGGACUUGAGUAUGGAUGAGGUAUGCGGAAUGUGUAGUGUAGCGGUGAAAUGCAUAGAUAUUACACAGAACACCGAUUGCGAAGGCAGCAUACUGGGCCAUUACUGACGCUGAGGCACGAAAGCGUGGGGAUCAAACAGGAUUAGAUACCCUGGUAGUCCACGCUGUAAACGAUGAUCACUCGCUGUUUGCGAUAUACAGCAAGCGGCUGAGCGAAAGCAAUAAGUGAUCCACCUGGGGAGUACGAUCGCAAGGUUGAA